GAAAGGCGAAACGUAAUGUGAAUCGCAACUAACAGUGAAUCAUCGAAUCUUUGAACGCAGACCGCACCUUCCGCUAUCACAUUCUUUGUGAUAGCGGAAGGUAUCCGCGUAUGAGUGUCAGCCAAAUAUCCUUUUGGUUCAUGAGGGAAUUAUGGCAUUAAGCCACAACUAACUUGUGAAUACACACAUGUCUCACGACAUAUCACGUGAAAAACAUGAUUGCUGUCUGGCCUCAUAUGUGGAAGAUUACCCGCUGGAUUUAAGC
rnacentral:misc_RNA from 1 species